rnacentral:tRNA from 2 species
GGCCCGAUAGCUCAGUGGUAGAGCGAGAGAUUGCAGAUCUCUAGGUCACGUGUUCGAUCCACGUUCUGGCCU